rnacentral:rRNA from 1 species
UCAAGUUAUUAAGGGUGCAGGGCGGAUGCCUUGGCACUAGGAGCCGAUGAAGGACGUGAUAAGCUGCGAUAAGCUUCGGGGAGUUGCACGUAAACUUUGAUCCGAAGAUUUCCGAAUGAGGAAACUCACUUAGAGUAAUGUCUAAGUAUCAUUAAGUGAAUACAUAGCUUAAUGAGGGGAACUCAGGGAACUGAAACAUCUAAGUACCUGAAGGAAGAGAAAGAAAUUCGAUUCCGUAAGUAGCGGCGAGCGAACGCGGAUUAGCCCAAACCAAUAAAGUUUUCUUUAUUGGGGUUGCGGACAUAUCAUAACGAAGAGGUAUCGUAAUUGAAGAGGUUUGGAAAGACCCACCACAGAAGGUAAUAGUCCUGUAUGUUAAACGAGAAGACUUCAGAUAUGAUCCAGAGUACCACGGGACACGUGAAACCCUGUGGGAAGCAGGAGGGACCACCCUCCAAGGCUAAAUACUACCUAGUGACCGAUAGCGUAUAGUACCGUGAGGGAAAGGUGAAAAGAACCCCGGGAGGGGAGUGAAAUAGAACCUGAAACCCUGCACUUACAAGCUGUGGAAGCACAUUUCUUGUGUGACCGCGUACUUUUUGUAGAACGGGCCAACGAGUUACGUUAAGUAGCAAGGUUAAGCACUUAAGGUGUGGAGCCGUAGCGAAAGCGAGUUUUAACUGAGCGUUCAGUUACUUGACGUAGACCCGAAACCGGGCGACCUACCCAUGAGCAGGAUGAAGCGAAAGUAAAAUUUCGUGGAGGUCCGAACCCACGAGCGUUGAAAAGCUCGGGGAUGACUUGUGGGUAGCGGUGAAAUUCCAAUCGAGCCCGGAGAUAGCUGGUUCUCCCCGAAAUAGCUUUAGGGCUAGCCUCAAGGUGAGAGAUACGGAGGUAGAGCACUGAAUGUCCUAGGGGGUAUUGCACCUACCGAAGACUAUCAAACUCCGAAUGCCGUCAUCUUAUACUUGGGAGUCAGACUGUGGGUGAUAAGAUUCAUAGUCGAAAGGGCAACAGCCCAGAUCGUCAGCUAAGGUCCCUAAAUGUAAGUUAAGUGGUAAAGGAUGUGGGAUUGCACAGACAACCAGGAUGUUGGCUUAGAAGCAGCCACUCAUUCAAAGAGUGCGUAAUAGCUCACUGGUCGAGUGAUCCUGCGCCGAAGAUUUCCGGGGCUAAAACUUACUACCGAAGCUACGGCAUCAGUAAUGAUGGGUAGGGGAGCUUCCCAUACGGGUUGAGAAGCGAAAGUAAAAUUUCGUGGAGGUCCGAACCCACGAGCGUUGAAAAGCUCGGGGAUGACUUGUGGGUAGCGGUGAAAUUCCAAUCGAGCCCGGAGAUAGCUGGUUCUCCCCGAAAUAGCUUUAGGGCUAGCCUCAAGGUGAGAGAUACGGAGGUAGAGCACUGAAUGUCCUAGGGGGUAUUGCACCUACCGAAGACUAUCAAACUCCGAAUGCCGUCAUCUUAUACUUGGGAGUCAGACUGUGGGUGAUAAGAUUCAUAGUCGAAAGGGCAACAGCCCAGAUCGUCAGCUAAGGUCCCUAAAUGUAAGUUAAGUGGUAAAGGAUGUGGGAUUGCACAGACAACCAGGAUGUUGGCUUAGAAGCAGCCACUCAUUCAAAGAGUGCGUAAUAGCUCACUGGUCGAGUGAUCCUGCGCCGAAGAUUUCCGGGGCUAAAACUUACUACCGAAGCUACGGCAUCAGUAAUGAUGGGUAGGGGAGCUUCCCAUACGGGUUGAAGCAUGACCGUAAGGACAUGUGGACAGUAUGGGAGUGAGAAUGUUGGCAUGAGUAGCGAGAUGUGGGUGAGAAUCCCACAGGCCGUAAACCCAAGGUUUCCAGGGGAAGGUUCGUCCGCCCUGGGUUAGUCGGGACCUAAGCUGAGGCCGAAAGGCGUAGGUGAUGGACAACAGGUUGAUAUUCCUGUACUACCGAUAACCGUUUGAGAGAAGGGAUGACACAGUAGGAUAAGCUAAGCACACUGUUGGUUAUGUGUGCCCAAGCAUUGAGGCAGUCAAAGUAGGCAAAUCCGCUUUGAUAAUGCUGGGAUGUGAUGGGGAGCGAAAUUUAGUAGCGAAGUAGCUGAUUUCACACUGUCAAGAAAAGUCUCUAUCGAGGUUAAAGGUACCCGUACCGCAAACCGACACAGGUGGGUGAGGAGAGUAUCCUAAGGCCAGCGAGAGAACUGUUGUUAAGGAACUCGGCAAAAUGACCCCGUAACUUAGGGAUAAGGGGUGCCACCAUCAGGUGGCCGCAGAGAAUAGGCCCAAGCGACUGUUUACCAAAAACAUAGGUUUCUGCUAAGUCGCAAGACGAUGUAUAGGAGCUGACGCCUGCCCGGUGCUGGAAGGUUAAGGGGAUCUGUUAGAGCAAUCGAAGCAGUGAACUUAAGCCCCAGUAAACGGCGGCCGUAACUAUAACGGUCCUAAGGUAGCGAAAUUCCUUGUCGGGUAAGUUCCGACCCGCACGAAAGGCGUAACGAUUUGGGCACUGUCUCAACAACAGACUCGGUGAAAUUGUAAUUCCGGUGAAGAUGCCGGAUACCUGCGACAGGACGGAAAGACCCCAUGGAGCUUUACUGUAGCUUGACAUUGGGUNNNNNNNNNNNNNNNNNNNNNUUGGUACUACAUGUACAGGAUAGGUGGGAGGCUUUGAAACCAGGACGCCAGUUUUGGCGGAGCCAUCCUUGGGAUACCACCCUUGUAGUACUGGGACUCUAACCAUAGGCCAUGAAUCUGGUCUUGGGACACUGUCAGGUGGGCAGUUUGACUGGGGCGGUCGCCUCCCAAAAGGUAACGGAGGCGCUCAAAGGUUCUCUCAGUACGGUCGGAAAUCGUACGUAGAGUGUAAAGGCAAAAGAGAGCUUGAUUGCAAGACAUACAGGUCGAGCAAGGAUGAAAAUCGGACUUAGUGAUCCGGUGGUUCUGCGUGGAAGGGCCAUCGCUCAACGGAUAAAAGCUACCCUGGGGAUAACAGGCUUAUCUCCCCCAAGAGUCCACAUCGACGGGGAGGUUUGGCACCUCGAUGUCGGCUCAUCACAUCCUGGGGCUGUAGUAGGUCCCAAGGGUUGGGCUGUUCGCCCAUUAAAGUGGUACGCGAGCUGGGUUCAGAACGUCGUGAGACAGUUCGGUCCCUAUCCGUCGCAGGCGUAGGAAAUUUGAGAAGACCUGUCCUUAGUACGAGAGGACCGGGAUGGACGUACCUCUGGUGUACCAGUUGUUCUGCCAAGGGCAUGGCUGGGUAGCUAUGUACGGAAUGGAUAAGCGCUGAAAGCAUCUAAGCGCGAAGCCAACUUCAAGAUAAGAUUUCCCACCGCAAGGGUAAGAUCCCAGAAAGACUAUCUGGUUGAUAGGUCGAAGGUGUAAGUGCAGCAAUGUAUUUAGCUUAUCGAUACUAAUAGGUCGAGGACUUGACCAA